AAAAACCAAAUCCGGAACAACAUUAAACUACUCAGUUACGCCCUAACAGUAUAACUUUGCAACGAGUACUUUUUCUCAUUCAAUCGAACAAAGUGUAAAAGCUAAUUAUAUUGUUCUAUUAUGCCCCGAGAGUGUAAAUUUGGAACGAAUCGAUGUCAACGUUCACAAGAACCAAAAUCGGAACAACAUUAGACUACUCAGUUGUGCCCUAACAGUAUAACUUUGCAACGAGUACUUUUUCUCAUUCUAUCGAACAAAGAGUAAAACCUAUUUAUAUUGUUCUAUUAUGCCCCGAGAGUGUAAAUAUAAAACGAAUCGAUGUCAACAUUCACAAGAACCAAAACCGGAACAACAUUAGACUCCUCAAUUGUGCCCUAACAGUAUAAAUUUGCAACGAGUACUUUUUCUCAUUCUAUCGAAUAAAGAGUAAAACCUAAUUAUAUUGUUCUAUUAUGCCUUGAGAGAGUAAAUUUGAAACGAAUCGAUGUCAACGUUCACAAGAACCAAAAUCGGAACAAUAUCAGUUGCGUCUUAACAAUAUAACUUUGCAACCAGUACUUUUUCUCAUUCGAUCAAACAAAGUGUAAAAGCUAAUUAUAUUGUUCUGUUAUGCCCCGAGAGUGUAAAUUUGGAACGAAUCGAUGUCAACCUUCACAAGAACCAAAAUCGGAACAACAUUAGACUACUCAGUUGCGCCCUAACAGUAACUUUUGCAAUGAAUACUUUUUCUCAUUCUAUCGAACAAAUAGUAAAAC
rnacentral:lncRNA from 1 species